UUAAGUUAGAAAGGGCGCACGGUGGAUGCCUUGACACUAGGAGUCGAUGAAGGACGGGACUAACGCCGAUAUGCUUCGGGGAGCUGUAAGUAAGCUUUGAUCCGAAGAUUUCCGAAUGGGGAAACCCACUAUACGUAAUGGUAUGGUAUCCUUACCUGAAUACAUAGGGUAUGGAAGACAGACCCAGGGAACUGAAACAUCUAAGUACCUGGAGGAAGAGAAAGCAAAUGCGAUUUCCUGAGUAGCGGCGAGCGAAACGGAAUCUAGCCCAAACCAAGAGGCUUGCCUCUUGGGGUUGUAGGACAUUCUAUACGGAGUUACAAAGGAACGAGGUAGACGAAGCGACCUGGAAAGGUCCGUCACAGAGGGUAAUAACCCCGUAGUCGAAACUUCGUUCUCUCUUGAAUGUAUCCUGAGUACGGCGGAACACGUGAAAUUCCGUCGGAAUCUGGGAGGACCAUCUCCCAAGGCUAAAUACUCCCUAGUGAUCGAUAGUGAACCAGUACCGUGAGGGAAAGGUGAAAAGCACCCCGGAAGGGGAGUGAAAGAGAUCCUGAAACCGUGUGCCUACAAAUAGUCAGAGCCCGUUAAUGGGUGAUGGCGUGCCUUUUGUAGAAUGAACCGGCGAGUUACGAUCCCGUGCGAGGUUAAGCUGAAGAGGCGGAGCCGCAGCGAAAGCGAGUCUGAAUAGGGCGUUUAGUACGUGGUCGUAGACCCGAAACCAGGUGAUCUACCCAUGUCCAGGGUGAAGUUCAGGUAACACUGAAUGGAGGCCCGAACCCACGCACGUUGAAAAGUGCGGGGAUGAGGUGUGGGUAGCGGAGAAAUUCCAAUCGAACCUGGAGAUAGCUGGUUCUCCCCGAAAUAGCUUUAGGGCUAGCCUUAAGUGUAAGAGUCUUGGAGGUAGAGCACUGAUUGAACUAGGGGUCCUCAUCGGAUUACCGAAUUCAGUCAAACUCCGAAUGCCAAUGACUUAUCCUUAGGAGUCAGACUGCGAGUGAUAAGAUCCGUAGUCAAGAGGGAAACAGCCCAGAUCGCCAGCUAAGGUCCCAAAGUGUGUAUUAAGUGGAAAAGGAUGUGGAGUUGCUUAGACAACUAGGAUGUUGGCUCAGAAGCAGCCACCAUUUAAAGAGUGCGUAAUAGCUCACUAGUCGAGUGACUCUGCGCCGAAAAUGUACCGGGGCUAAAUACACCACCGAAGCUGCGAAUUGAUACCAAUGGUAUCAGUGGUAGGGGAGCGUUCUAAGUGCAGUGAAGUCAGACCGGAAGGACUGGUGGAGCGCUUAGAAGUGAGAAUGCCGGUAUGAGUAGCGAAAGACGGGUGAGAAUCCCGUCCACCGAAUGCCUAAGGUUUCCUGAGGAAGGCUCGUCCGCUCAGGGUUAGUCAGGACCUAAGCCGAGGCCGACAGGCGUAGGCGAUGGACAACAGGUUGAUAUUCCUGUACCACCUCUUUAUCGUUUGAGCAAUGGAGGGACGCAGAAGGAUAGAAGAAGCGUGCGAUUGGUUGUGCACGUCCAAGCAGUUAGGCUGAUAAGUAGGCAAAUCCGCUUAUCGUGAAGGCUGAGCUGUGAUGGGGAAGCUCCUUAUGGAGCGAAGUCUUUGAUUCCCCGCUGCCAAGAAAAGCUUCUAGCGAGAUAAAAGGUGCCUGUACCGCAAACCGACACAGGUAGGCGAGGAGAGAAUCCUAAGGUGUGCGAGAGAACUCUGGUUAAGGAACUCGGCAAAAUGACCCCGUAACUUCGGGAGAAGGGGUGCUUUCUUAACGGAAAGCCGCAGUGAAUAGGCCCAAGCGACUGUUUAGCAAAAACACAGGUCUCUGCGAAGCCGUAAGGCGAAGUAUAGGGGCUGACACCUGCCCGGUGCUGGAAGGUUAAGGAGAGGGGUUAGCGUAAGCGAAGCUCUGAACUGAAGCCCCAGUAAACGGCGGCCGUAACUAUAACGGUCCUAAGGUAGCGAAAUUCCUUGUCGGGUAAGUUCCGACCCGCACGAAAGGUGUAACGAUUUGGGCACUGUCUCAACCAGAGACUCGGUGAAAUUAUAGUACCUGUGAAGAUGCAGGUUACCCGCGACAGGACGGAAAGACCCCGUGGAGCUUUACUGUAGCCUGAUAUUGAAUUUUGGUACAGUUUGUACAGGAUAGGCGGGAGCCAUUGAAACCGGAGCGCUAGCUUCGGUGGAGGCGCUGGUGGGAUACCGCCCUGACUGUAUUGAAAUUCUAACCUACGGGUCUUAUCGACCCGGGAGACAGUGUCAGGUGGGCAGUUUGACUGGGGCGGUCGCCUCCUAAAGUGUAACGGAGGCGCCCAAAGGUUCCCUCAGAAUGGUUGGAAAUCAUUCGUAGAGUGCAAAGGCAUAAGGGAGCUUGACUGCGAGACCUACAAGUCGAGCAGGGACGAAAGUCGGGCUUAGUGAUCCGGUGGUU
rnacentral:rRNA from 1 species